GGUCUUAUAUUCAUGGAAUGAUACUAGAAUGCAAUUCUAGAGGUGUAAUUAAUACUAAGACUU
rnacentral:tRNA from 1 species